rnacentral:misc_RNA from 1 species
UGGUCGUAGAUAGCCGUGCAAGCCACCUGCAAAGAAAGCCAGGAUUGGCCUCUGUGAAGGAGGUUUGCCACCAAGACCUCUAAGAGGAUUCUGGGGCAUAAGUACAUUUGUCUCUGGAAGAGACACGUCCUUACCAAAAACAAAACCUUCUUUAACAUCAGCAUUGCAAAGCGCUCUUAUGCAGUUAGACAUAAGCUGUUUUGUUUCAGCUGGGGCCCAGUCAUGACAAGCAACAAGAAAAUGAUCUACUCCUUCAGUUCUGUUCCAGAAAGGAUAUUUUGCCACGAUAGUGUCCAAGUAG